GCGGCGAACGGGUGAGUAACACGUGGGUGACCUGCCCUCAGCUCUGGGACAAGCCUGGGAAACUGGGUCUAAUACCGGAUAUGACCUUUCCUCGCAUGGGGUUUGGUGGAAAGUUUUUUCGGCUGGGGAUGGGCCCGCGGCCUACCAGCUUGUUGGUGGGGUGAUGGCCUACCAAGGCGACGACGGGUAGCCGGCCUGAGAGGGUGACCGGCCACACUGGGACUGAGACACGGCCCAGACUCCUACGGGAGGCAGCAGUGGGGAAUAUUGCACAAUGGGCGCAAGCCUGAUGCAGCGACGCCGCGUGAGGGAUGACGGCCUUCGGGUUGUAAACCUCUUUCGCCAGGGACGAAGCGCGAGUGACGGUACCUGGAUAAGAAGCACCGGCUAACUACGUGCCAGCAGCCGCGGUAAUACGUAGGGUGCGAGCGUUGUCCGGAAUUAUUGGGCGUAAAGAGCUCGUAGGCGGUUUGUCGCGUCGGCUGUG
rnacentral:rRNA from 1 species